AUUGAACGCUGGCGGAAUGCUUUACACAUGCAAGUCGAGCGGCAGCGCGGGGGCAACCCUGGCGGCGAGCGGCGAACGGGUGAGUAAUACAUCGGAACGUGUCCUUCAAGUGGGGGAUAGCUCGGCGAAAGCCGGAUUAAUACCGCAUAAGCUCUGAGGAGGAAAGCGGGGGACUGGUAACGGCCUCGCGCUGUUGGAGCGGCCGAUGUCGGAUUAGCUAGUUGGUGGGGUAAAGGCCCACCAAGGCGACGAUCCGUAGCUGGUCUGAGAGGAUGAUCAGCCACACUGGAACUGAGACACGGUCCAGACUCCUACGGGAGGCAGCAGUGGGGAAUUUUGGACAAUGGGGCAACCCUGAUCCAGCCAUUCCGCGUGAGUGAAGAAGGCCU
rnacentral:rRNA from 1 species